rnacentral:rRNA from 1 species
CCUUGACAUACUAAGAACUUUCCAGAGAUGGAUUGGUGCCUUCGGGAACUUAGAUACAGGUGCUGCAUGGCUGUCGUCAGCUCGUGUCGUGAGAUGUUGGUUAAGUCCCGCAACGAGCGCAACCCUUUUCCUUAUUUGCCAGCGGGUCAUGCCGGGAACUUUAAGGAUACUGCCAGUGACAAACUGGAGGAAGGCGGGGACGACGUCAAGUCAUCAUGGCCCUUACGGCCAGGGCUACACACGUGCUACAAUGGUCGGUACAAAGGGUUGCUACCUCGCGAGAGGAUGCUAAUCUCAAAAAGCCGAUCGUAGUCCGGAUCGCAGUCUGCAACUCGACUGCGUGAAGUCGGAAUCGCUAGUAAUCGCGGAUCAGAAUGCCGCGGUGAAUACGUUCCCGGGCCUUGUACACACCGCCCGUCACACCAUGGGAGUUUGUUGCACCAGAAGUAGGUAGUCUAACCGCAAGGAGGACGCUUACCACGGUGUGGCCGAUGACUGGGGUGAAGUCGUAACAAGGUAAGCGUAGAUGA